rnacentral:rRNA from 1 species
GACGAACGCUGGCGGCGUGCUUAACACAUGCAAGUCGAACGGAAAGGCCCUGCUUUUGUGGGGUGCUCGAGUGGCGAACAGGUGAGUAACACGUGAGUAACCUGCCCUUGACCUUGGGAUAACUUCAGGAAACUGGGGCUAAUACCGGAUAGGAGCUCCUGCUGCAUGGUGGGGGUUGGAAAGUUUCGGCGGUUGGGGAUGGACUCGCGGCUUAUCAGCUUGUUGGUGGGGUAGUGGCUUACCAAGGCUUUGACGGGUAGCCGGCCUGAGAGGGUGACCGGCCACAUUGGGACUGAGAUACGGCCCAGACUCCUACGGGAGGCAGCAGUGGGGAAUAUUGCACAAUGGGCGGAAGCCUGAUGCAGCAACGCCGCGUGCGGGAUGACGGCCUUCGGGUUGUAAACCGCUUUCGCCUGUGACGAAGCGUGAGUGACGGUAAUGGGUAAAGAAGCACCGGCUAACUACGUG